rnacentral:rRNA from 1 species
UACGUAGGGUGCAAGCGUUGUCCGGAAUUAUUGGGCGUAAAGAGCUCGUAGGCGGUUUGUCGCGUCGAAUGUGAAAACCCGGGGCUCAACCCCGGGCCUGCAUUCGAUACGGGCAGACUAGAGUUCGGUAGGGGAGUCUGGAAUUCCUGGUGUAGCGGUGAAAUGCGCAGAUAUCAGGAGGAACACCGGUGGCGAAGGCGGGACUCUGGGCCGACACUGACGCUGAGGAGCGAAAGCGUGGGGAGCAAACAGG